rnacentral:rRNA from 1 species
CCCUUAGAUGUUCGGAGCUGCACGCGCGCUACACUGAAGGAAGCAGCGUGUUAGAGUACCUGGUUUGUAAAAACUGGGUAAUCCGGUGAAUGUCCUUCGUGAUUGGGAUAGGCACUUGUAAUUAUUUGCCUUGAACGAGGAAUACCUAGUAAGUGCGAGUCAUCAGCUUGCGUUGAUUACGUCCCUGCCCUUUGUACACACCGCCCGUCGCUACUACCGAUUGAAUGGCUUAGUGAGGCCUCCGGAUUGGCUUUGGGGAGCCGGCAACGGCACCACAUGGCUGAGAAGUUGGUCAAACUUGGUCAUUUAGAGGAAGUAAAAGUCGUAACA